rnacentral:rRNA from 1 species
ACGGGAGGCAGCAGUGGGGAAUAUUGCACAAUGGGCGAAAGCCUGAUGCAGCGACGCCGCGUGAGCGAAGAAGUAUUUCGGUAUGUAAAGCUCUAUCAGCAGGGAAGAUAAUGACGGUACCUGACUAAGAAGCACCGGCUAAAUACGUGCCAGCAGCCGCGGUAAUACGUAUGGUGCAAGCGUUAUCCGGAUUUACUGGGUGUAAAGGGAGCGUAGGCGGUUUUACAAGUCUGAUGUGAAAGCCCGGGGCUCAACUCCGGUAUUGCAUUGGAAACUGUAGAACUAGAGUGUCGGAGGGGUAAGUGGAAUUCCUAGUGUAGCGGUGAAAUGCGUAGAUAUUAGGAGGAACACCAGUGGCGAAGGCGGCUUGCUGGACGACAACUGACGCUGAGGCGCGAAAGCGUGGGGAGCAAACAGGAUUAGAUACCCUGGUA